rnacentral:rRNA from 1 species
CCUACGGGAGGCAGCAGUGGGGAAUAUUGGUCAAUGGGCGCAAGUCUGACCCAGCAAUGCCGCGUGCAGGAUGACGGCUCUACGGGUUGUAAACUGCUUUUAUACAGGAAUAAAGUGAGGUACGUGUGUCUUUUUGAAAGUACUGUAUGAAUAAGGAUCGGCUAACUCCGUGCCAGCAGCCGCGGUAAUACGGAGGAUCCGAGCGUUAUCCGGAUUUAUUGGGUUUAAAGGGAGCGUAGAUGGGUUGUUAAGUCAGUGGUGAAAGUUUGCGGCUCAACCGUAAAAUUGCAGUUGAUACUGGCAGUCUUGAGUACAGUUGAGGUAGGCGGAAUUCGUGGUGUAGCGGUGAAAUGCUUAGAUAUCACGCAGAACUCCGAUUGCGAAGGCAGCUUACUAAGCUGCCACUGACAUUGAUGCUCGAAAGUGUGGGGAUCAAACAGGAUUAGAUACCCUAGUAGUC